rnacentral:rRNA from 1 species
GCGCAGAACCUUACCAGCCCUUGACAUCCCGAUCGCGGUUACCAGAGAUGGUAUCCUUCAGUUAGGCUGGAUCGGUGACAGGUGCUGCAUGGCUGUCGUCAGCUCGUGUCGUGAGAUGUUGGGUUAAGUCCCGCAACGAGCGCAACCCUCGCCCUUAGUUGCCAUCAUUCAGUUGGGCACUCUAAGGGGACUGCCGGUGAUAAGCCGAGAGGAAGGUGGGGAUGACGUCAAGUCCUCAUGGCCCUUACGGGCUGGGCUACACACGUGCUACAAUGGUGGUGACAGUGGGCAGCGANNCCGCGAGGUCGAGCUAAUCNCCAAAAGCCAUCUCAGUUCGGAUUGCACUCUGCAACUCGAGUGCAUGAAGUUGGAAUCGCUAGUAAUCGUGGAUCAGAAUGCCACGGUGAAUACGUUCCCGGGCCUUGUACACACCGCCCGUCACACCAUGGGAGUUGGUUUUACCCGAAGGUGCUGUGCUAACCGCAAGGAGGCAGGCAACCACGGUAGG